rnacentral:rRNA from 1 species
AUUUAGCGGCCCCCGAAUUCGCCCUUUGCCARCARCCGCGGUAAUACGUAGGGUGCAAGCGUUAAUCGGAAUUACUGGGCGUAAAGCGUGCGCAUGCGGUUAUGUAAGACAGAGGUGAAAUCCCCGGGCUCAACCUGGGAACUGCCUUUGUGACUGCAUAGCUGGAGUGCGGCAGAGGGGGAUGGAAUUCCGCGUGUAGCAGUGAAAUGCGUAKAUAURCGGAGGAACACCGAUGGCUGAAGGCAAUCCCCUGGGCCUGCACUGACGCUCAUGCACGAAAGCGUGGGGAGCAAACAGGAUUAGAUACCCUGGUAGUCC